UAAGUUCUCGCGUGGCACAGAGGGCUUGGAGGAAGUAGCUGAUUCUCCCCACGCGGCUGGUGAAAGUGGACGGGAUCCUUGGCGACCCCUCACAUCCUGGACGUAAACGGUUUCAACGUCGACCCUCCAAAUGGCGCUAUAGGGCAGGGGUAUCAAACUCAAAGCCCGCAAGCCGGAGGUGGUCGGAUCCAGCUCGUGUGGCAGUUCUGCAAAUGGCAAAGAAAUUCACCAGGGUUCAUCUUCCACCCACUUCCAGGGUGUGCCUUUGUCUUCUGAAAGAUCUUCCUUAGUCCCUUCUCGAUAGGUGGGGUCUUAAAUUCCCAACUAGGAUUACUGGAAUUAGAAGAAACGACGGCUGCGGUAUACCUGGAAGGCAAGUUGUGGGAGAAAUCUGGGCUAAUAUAUUACAUUUCCAAACCUUUGGCAGGAGAAAAAGGUAAAUAUUUUAAUAAAUUGCAGGCCCCGGAGAAGAUUGCAAUGAUGGGUGGCGCCCCAGCGAAGAAGACACAUACCAGGCAAGUUUACAGUAUAUAGCAGGAGAUGUAUAAUUAUCCCAAUAAUUCCUUAGGCUCCUAAACAACAGGAAAUUAUAUAAUGGAGGAGAUAAGGAGACAUUAAGGCUUAUUUUUCAUGAGUGGGUGUGGAGCAGCUUUGGGGAAAGAUUAGGGACCAGUGGGGCAGGAGGCAGAUCCUUCCCUGCCUGCGUGGGAGCCCAGAAGCAGCAGGAAAAGACAAACCCCUUUCUGAGCAUAUACAGGCAGUUCUUGACUUACGACAGUUCAUUUAGUGACCAUUCACAUUUACAACGUCACUGAAAAAAAGGGAUUUAUGACUGUUUUUCACACGGAUGACCUUUGAAGCACAUGAUAAAAAUUGGUAAUUGGUAACUAACUCCAUUUUAUUUUAUUUAUUAAAGUUUUUUUAUUUUUAUUUUUCAA